CUCCGGAUCCCUUAGUGGCGAACGGGUGAGUAACGCGUGGGAAUCUACCUAAGAGUGGGGAAUAACUAUUGGAAACGAUAGCUAAUACCGCAUAAUCCCCUCGGGGCAAAGGCUUCGGCCGCUUUUAGAUGAGCCCGCGUUAGAUUAGGCUGUUGGUGAGGUAACGGCUCACCAAACCUACAAUCUAUAGCUGGUCUGAGAGGAUGAUCAGCCACACUGGGACUGAGACACGGCCCAGACUCCUACGGGAGGCAGCAGUGGGGAAUAUUGGACAAUGGGGGAAACCCUGAUCCAGCAAUGCCGCGUGAGUGAUGAAGGCCCUAGGGUUGUAAAACUCUUUCAGAAGUGAAGAUGAUGACGGUAACUUCAGAAGAAGCUCCGGCUAACUCCGUGCCAGCAGCCGCGGUAAUACGGAGGGAGCUAGCGUUGUUCGGAAUUACUGGGCGUAAAGGGCGUGUAGGCUGUUAGGUAAGUCAGAGGUGAAAUCCCUAAGCUCAACUUAGGAACUGCCUUUGAUACUAUCUUACUAGAGAUCGAGAGAAGUUGGCGGAAUUCCAAGUGUAGAGGUGAAAUUCGUAGAUAUUUGGAAGAACACCAGUGGCGAAAGCGGCCAACUGGCUCGUAUCUGACGCUGAGACGCGAAAGCGUGG
rnacentral:rRNA from 1 species